AGGAGAAGAAGUGUUCCUGUUAACUAACAAUGAGAAUAUAUAUCGGUAUAACACAAAGACCAAAGAGACAAAGAAAAUUGCGAAGCAAGCUUUAUUCAUGGCAUGUGAUUAUGAAAGAAAUUUAUUAUACUACGUACAACAAAAAAAAAAAUGAUAUGUCUACCAAAUUCAUCCGCAUGGUUCAGGGCAGUGAUGAUAUAAAAACCAUAUUGGGUAAUGAUAAAGUUGACCCCACAGUUGUAUCUAUUAGCGUCGACCAAGAAACUGGAAACGUCUACUAUGGUUCAUCAAAAGGAAUUGAAUUUCUUUCUUACACACAGAAUUAUAGAAAGACCAUUACUUUUACUUAUAGGCAAACUGAUAAUUAUCCUGUAUUUUAUAUAGGAUUCCAUGGCAAAGGGUCCAGUAAAAGAGUGUACUUGUCUACAUUGUAUAAUUUGUAUAGGUCAGAAAUUAAUACCACCGAUCUUAUAAAUCUUAGAGGGGAGUGUCAAUAUUUUAGUAUUUUUGAUAAUGGUAUGGUGUGUGAUUCACUUAAGGGGUUGUAUCUAGCAAAUCUGGAUGGCGUGAAGAUUGAAUCGCUGCCGAAUAUUGCAAUCACACCAUCUAUACUAGGAGAUAUUGAAUCCACGUGUGUUGUACAAGAUCCUGUAAUAGCUUAUGGAAAUUUGUAUAUCCUCUGUUAUAAGCAGGUUUUAAAAUUGGAUUUAAAAACCGGUAUCCUUAAUCAUUUGAUUCCUACGAUGCCAAUUCCUACGAUGCCAAAAAUGCAUUUCUGUGUGUCCAUUGACCCACCAGAACGAUGCACCGACAGUAACCAUACUUCCGGUUUCUACAGCUGAGAUGGUAGUUGCAGCUGUAGUUAUUGGUAUUGUCCUGAGUGUAAUCCUAACAGUCACCAUUCUAAAAUAUAAAAAGAAAAGCGAACAACCAUCCAGUUCACGUGAAUGUAAUGUGUAUACCACGAUGCAUUCAAGAUCUAACUACCAUCAGAGUGAAGAACCGGGAUAUUCAUGUAGCUAUGACAACAGACAAAAAGAUUGCAAUGUGCAUACGGCAAUGCCAUCUACCGAAUAACUGGAAGUACAUUAGCAUCUUGAGUUUUGAACACCUCUGAACGCUUUUAAGUAGGCACGGUUGGCGUUUUUGUCUUUGGAAUUUUGCUACAUAAAACAAAAUUUAAAUUAUUUGAAACAGGUUACUCCGUUUUAAUAAUAGUUUUCUCGACAUUUUGACAGAUUGAACAUAUAUAGUGGGGGUUGGAUGGCCGAAUGGUUAGCGCGUGGGCUUUGUAUGAUAAGGUCCGUCAGGUUUCGUUUUCCCGGUUGUACAUGGCAAGGAGUAGGGUUGCCUGUACAACCACGUGAGUUUUCUCCGGGUCCUCCGGUUUCCUCCCACGGAUAAAGCGAAUUAUUGAAAUAAAAUUGAAUCAUAUGUUAGUCCCGACAUUACCUAUUUGCACAUGAAGCAG